rnacentral:rRNA from 1 species
UGAAUACGAGAUGCUACGGCGUCGAAGCAGUCUAUGUCAUACUUCCAAGAAAAGCUUGCACUGUCAUAAACAAAUAAUGCCUGUACCAUAACCGACACAGGUGGGUAGGUAGAGUAUACUAAGGGGCGCGAGAUAACUCUCUCUAAGGAACUCGGCAAAAUGACUCCGUAACUUCGGGAGAAGGAGUGCCUUAUUUAUAAGGUUGCAAUAACAAGAUCCAAGCAACUGUUUACCAAAAACACAGGUCUCCGCUAAGUCGUAAGACGAUGUAUGGGGGCUGACGCCUGCCCAGUGCCAGAAGGUUAAAGAAGUUGGUUAGCAUCCGCGAAGCUGAUAACUGAAGCCCUGGUGAACGGCGGCCGUAACUAUAACGGUCCUAAGGUAGCGAAAUUCCUUGUCGGGUAAGUUCCGACCCGCACGAAAGGCGUAAUGAUUUGGAUACUGUCUCGGAGAGGGGCUAGGUGAAAUAGACUUGUCUGUGAAGAUGCGGACUACCUGCACCAGGACAGAAAGACCCUAUGAAGCUUUACUGUAACCUGAAAUUGAAAUUGGACUUUACUUGCGCAGUAUAGGUGGGAGGCGUUGAGAAUAUUCUUGCGGGAUUAUUGGAGCCAUCAGUGAGAUACCACUCUUGUAAUGUUAGAUUUCUAACUUUGUAUCAUUAUCUGGUCAAAGAACAGUUUCAGGCGGGCAGUUUGACUGGGGCGGUCGCCUCCUAAACGGUAACGGAGGCGCACAAAGGUUUCCUCUGAACGGGUAGAAAUCGUAUCUAGAGUGUAAAGGCAUAAGGAAGCUUGACUGUGAGACCUACAAGUCGAGCAGGGACGAAAGUCGGUCUUAGUGAUCUGACGGUGCUGAGUGGAAAGGCCGUCACUCAACGGAUAAAAGUUACUCUAGGAUAACAGGCUGAUCUCCCCCAAGAGUUCACAUCGACGGGGAGGUUUGGCACCUCGAUGUCGGCUCAUCGCAUCCUGGGGCGGUAGUACGUCCCAAGGGUUGGGCUGUUCGCCCAUGAAAGCGGUACGCGAGCUGGGUUCAGAACGUCGUGAGACAGUUCGGUCCAUAUCCGGUGUGGGCGUUAGAAUAUUGAGAGGAGCCUUCUUUAGUACGAGAGGACCGAGAAGGACAUACCUCUGGUGCACCAGUUAUCGUGCCAACGGUAAACGCUGGGUAGCUAUGUGUGGAGUGGAUAACCGCUGAAAGCAUCUAAGUGGGAAGCCCACCUCAAGAUAAGUAUUCUCAC